rnacentral:pre_miRNA from 1 species
GUACUUCUCCCUCCGUUCCAAAUUACUCAUCGCAGAAAUGGAUGUAUCUAGAACUAAAAUACAUCUAGAUACAUCCAUACGUGCGACAAGUAAUUCGGAACGGAGGGAGUAGUAA